AUACGUAGGUGGCAAGCGUUGUCCGGAAUUAUUGGGCAUAAAGCGCAUGUAGGCGGUGCCUUAAGUCUGUCGUGAAACUGCGGGGCCUAACCCCGUAUGGCGAUGGAAACUGUGGCACUUGAGUGCAGGAGAGGAAAGGGGAACUCCCAGUGUAGCGGUGAAAUGCGUAGAUAUUGGGAAGAACACCGGUGGCGAAGGCGCCUUUCUGGACUGUGGCUGACGCUGAGAUGCGAAAGCCAGGGUAGCGAACGGGAUUAGAUACCCCGGUAGUCCUGGCCGUAAACGAUGGGUACUAGGUGUGGGAGGUAUCGACCCCUUCCGUGCCGGAGUUAACGCAAUAAGUACCCCGCCUGGGGAGUACGGCCGCAAGGCUUAAACUCAAAGGAAUUGACGGGG
rnacentral:rRNA from 1 species